AAAUAUUUGAAAUUUUCUGAUAUUCUUCAUUGAUUCAGGUUUGUGUAAUUUAUAGACUCUGAACAAUAAAUAAUAACAAUUUUCAAAUUAAAACAAAGCUACUAGAUAACUGAAAAAUAGCAACUGAUUAGCUAAAGAAUAGCAACAAAAUAGCUAAACUAAAGCCUUAUUACCUUAACUACUUUGACUUGACUGGAAACAAAUUAUUUCAAAAAUGAAAAUACUGCAGAUGCAUGACAUUCCUUCCCCGUUGAAAAGGGUCCUUGUCCUCAAGGAUAGAUAAGAUCAGGAAACUUUUCUUUGAAAGAUCUUUUUUCUUCCCACGUAGCUUCUGUUGUAGGAAGUCCUUGUCAUUGAAUAAGCAACUCACUCUUUCUGCCUCUUUUGCGAUAAUUCAGAACUGCCACUGGUUGAGGAUGCAACUCAUCAGAGUCUUGUAAUGUAACUAGUAAAUAAGGAUCUGUCUGAUUCCGUGCAGAUAGUUGCUUCUUGAGAAGGGAAACAUGGAAUACGGGAUGAAUUCUGCUACUUGAAGGAAGGUCUAAAUGGUAGGCAAUGGGCCCAGCACACUCCAACACUUGAUAAGGUCCAUAAAAACGAGGUAAGAGCUUAUGUGACUUCCGUAAGGCUAAGGAAGUUUGUUUGUAAGGCUGUAAAUGCAAAUAUACCCAAUCACCAACAGCAAACUCUCUUUCUACUCUUCCACGGUCAUAAGAGGACUUCAUUCAAGCUUGUGCUUGCUGUAGUUGAGACCUCAAUUCAUGUAGAAUUCGAUCUCGUUCUUGCAAUGUUUGAUUAACAGCCUCGACUUUAGCUGUUCCAGGAAUAUAGCUGAGCAAGUUUGGAGCUGACCUACCAUACACCAGUUCAAAUGGAGUUUUACCAGUAGAAGUAUGUAGGCUGGUAUUAUAACAUAACUUAGCCCAAGGCAACCAUUGAACCCAUUGAUGAGGCCUAGAGCUGAUGUAACAAUCCAGGAACAUCUCCAGUGUUCUGUUCACAGCCUCAGUUUGUCCAUCCGUUUGGGGAUGGUAAGAGGAGCUAUAAUUGAAAUGAGUGCCCUGCAAAUUGAAAAGUUCCUUCCAAAAAGCACUAAGAAAGACAGAGUCUCUAUCACAAGCAUUUUUUGAGAAUGUUUUUAAGCUCCAUGGCAUGCCAAGUUCAAUAGCUUGU
rnacentral:misc_RNA from 1 species